rnacentral:tRNA from 1 species
UAAUAUAGUGGUUAGGAGUCCUGGCUUUCACCCAGGCGGCCCGGGUUCGAUUCCCGG